rnacentral:rRNA from 1 species
AGAGUUUGAUCAUGGCUCAGGACGAACGCUGGCGGCGUGCUUAACACAUGCAAGUCAAGGGGGCCCAGCAAUGGGCAACCGGCGAACGGGUGCGUAACACGUGAGCAACCUUCCGAAAUAUGGGGGAUAGCCGGCCUAACGGCCGAGUAAUACCGCAUACGCUCUCGAUGAGGCAUUUCAUUGAGAGGAAACCUACGGGGUAUUUCGAGGGGCUCGCGGCCUAUCAGCUAGUUGGCGAGGUAACGGCUCACCAAGGCAACGACGGGUAGCUGGUCUGAGAGGAUGGCCAGCCACAUUGGGACUGAGAUACGGCCCAGACUCCUACGGGAGGCAGCAGUGGGGAAUCUUGCGCAAUGGCCUAACGGCUGACGCAGCGACGCCGCGUGUGGGAUGAAGCUCUUCGGAGUGUAAACCACUGUUGCCCGGGACGAAUAGCUCGAUUAAUCGAGCCUGACAGUACCGGGUGAGGAAGCACCGGCUAACUCCGUGCCAGCAGCCGCGGUAAUACGGGGGGUGCGAGCGUUGUCCGGAAUCACUGGGCGUAAAGGGCGCGUAGGUGGUUUGAUAAGGGUGUGGUGAAAGUCCGGGGCUCAACCCCGGAUCUGCCGUGCCGACUGUCAAACUCGAGGACUGUAGAGGCAGACGGAAUUCCGGGUGUAGCGGUGGAAUGCGUAGAGAUCCGGAGGAAGACCGGUGGCGAAGGCGGUCUGCUGGGCAGUUUCUGACACUGAGGCGCGACAGCGUGGGGAGCAAACAGGAUUAGAUACCCUAGUAGUCC